rnacentral:tRNA from 1 species
UUUAAUUAAUUAAUUGGCAGAUAAAUGCAUUAGAAUUAGAAUCUAAUAAAACUACUAUUCCAUUCAUUUUAUCAUACCUAAUUAUUAUUAUUAGA